rnacentral:rRNA from 1 species
GACGAACGCUGGCGGCGUGCCUAAUACAUGCAAGUUGAGCGCUGAAGGUUGGUACUUGUACCAACUGGAUGAGCAGCGAACGGGUGAGUAACGCGUGGGGAAUCUGCCUUUGAGCGGGGGACAACAUUUGGAAACGAAUGCUAAUACCGCAUAAAAACUUUAAACACAAGUUUUAAGCUUGAAAGAUGCAAUUGCAUCACUCAAAGAUGAUCCCGCGUUGUAUUAGCUAGUUGGUGAGGUAAAGGCUCACCAAGGCGAUGAUACAUAGCCGACCUGAGAGGGUGAUCGGCCACAUUGGGACUGAGACACGGCCCAAACCCCUACGGGAGGCAGCAGUAGGGAAUCUUCGGCAAUGGACGAAAGUCUGACCGAGCAACGCCGCGUGAGUGAAGAAGGUUUUCGGAUCGUAAAACUCUGUUGGUAGAGAAGAACGUUGGUGAGAGUGGAAAGCUCAUCAAGUGACGGUAACUACCCAGAAAGGGACGGCUAACUACGUG